rnacentral:misc_RNA from 1 species
GAAAAUUGGUGCAGCGGUGUACGUCGACGGGCCUGUGCUCUCUGUGAGACAUUGUGUGCUAACAUGGUGGCGUCCAGGAGGACGGAGUCGAGUGGUGCGUUCGAGGAACCCAAGAUCCAGCUGCUCAACCUGGCGCGCGCCGGUGACUGCCUGAACGAUGACUCCGGGGAACCCGAUGAUACGCCGGAGCCACCUCGGAGCGGCUUCGAGCGACUGUGCCGCGGAGCCCGCAACCAGUGUUGUUCGGUGCAGCGCUGGAAGAACCGCAUUCCCAUCACCAAGUGGCUACCACACUACUCCCUGCUGGACCUGCACGGGGACUUUGUGGCCGGCAUGACGGUUGCCCUCACGGUCAUCCCUCAGGGACUGGCUCUGGCCGUCCUUGCCGGGCUGCCUCCUCAGUAUGGCCUAUACACAGCAUUCAUGGGCAGCUUCAUGUACACCAUAUUUGGUAGCUGCAAGGAUCUCACCAUUGGUCCUACAGCCAUCAUGUCCAUCAUGACCGGCGAGUAUACGCACGUCGGUGGACCAACAUUUGCCAUCAUCCUCACAUUCCUCUCGGGCAUUAUCCAGAUUGUCAUGGGCUUGCUCAACCUAGGUUUCAUAGUGGAGUUCAUAUCUGGUCCUGUAAUCAGUGGAUUCACAUCAGCAGCUGCCAUCACCAUUGCAAGUACACAGCUCAAGUCUCUAUUUGGGAUGAAAUUUGAGGCUGAAGAGUUUCUCGACACAAUGUACCAGUUCUUCACGCAUCUUCACACCAUAAGGUUGGCAGAUUCCUUGCUGGGUGUCUCGUGUGUAAUUCUGCUGCUCCUCAUCAGGCAUUUCAAGGACCGGAAGUUCGGCCCAGAUUCCAGGCUCCCAUCUCGGGCACAAAAGAUUCUCGAGGGCAUCUGGUGGACCUUUGCAACAGCGCGCAAUGCCAUUGCUGUCCUGGUUUGUGCUGUGGUCGCAGCCAUCUUGCUGAACAACAACAUGCAGCCCUUUGCCCUUACGGAUGAGGUGAAAGGCGGCAUGCCCCCUUUCCAGGUGCCAAACUUCACGGCAGACAUCUUCGACACGAGCAACAACAAGACCAUCCACAUGAACUUCGUCGACAUUAUGAGGACACUUGGUGCAGGAAUUCCUAUCAUAGCCCUGCUGUCAAUUCUCGAAUCUGUCGCCAUUGCAAAGGCAUUCGCUAAAGGCAAGAGUCUCGACUCAACCCAGGAGAUGCUUGCGAUUGGUAUUUGUAAUCUGAUGGGGUCCUUCGUGAGUGCAUACCCUGGAACGGGCAGCUUUUCCAGAACUGCGAUUAACAACAACAGCGGUGUUCGUACGCCGAUGGGUGGAGUUUUCACCGGUGCCAUUGUGAUCAUGGCACUCGUGUUCAUGGCGCCCUACUUCAAGUACAUUCCCAAGGCCUCCCUGUCAGCCAUCAUCAUCACAGCUGUCAUCUUCAUGGUCCACUACCAGGAUGUGCCUGCCAUGUGGCGAACAAACCGCCUCGACCUGCUGCCCUUUGCUGCAACAUUCAUCGUGUCAUUUGUCCUUGGCUUGGAGUACGGCAUCAUUGUUGGCGUGGUCAUCUCCCUUGUUCUGCUGAUGUACGAGCAUGCCAGGCCACGAGUGAAGAUCACCAAGAAGCAGACGAUGUCGGGCAUUCCAUAUGUCCUUGUGUCUCCUGACCGGACCGUGCUGUAUCCCUCCUCGAUGUACACCACCGACAAGAUCACCAAGGCUCUGCCCGACACCAAGGACGCCUCCCCGCGAUUCGUGGUCUACGACGGCGUCCACAUCAACGUCGUUGACUACACUACCUGCAUUGCUUUCAAGAGUCUCAGCGACAACUUUGCCAAGCAGCAGGCCACAUUGAUCUACGUUAACCUCAAGCCAUCUGUGGCCGAUGCCCUGCAAGGUGCAGGGCCUGUAAACUUCUACAGUUGCAAAUCUGAUAAGGAGCUCGAUUCUCUUAUCUCUGCGGCUUGCGCUCACACCAAUAUGGCUCUCUUGUCGACGUGCAAGCCUGGAGAUGAGGAUGACUAUAGUGCUGAUGAUGAUGGAAAUUAUAGUGAACAGCCCGUUUCUGGGAUGGCUCACCCUGCCGUGAAGGUGUGAUGCCCAGGGCUGGUCACACCUGCUUGAAAAGAUGGGAACAUGACAAGAUUACUGCAUGUCACAGUGGAAAGGGGCAUCGUCAACUCUGAGCAAUGGCUCCACGUCUGUACCUGAGGCCACGUGGGGGGACACGCUUGAUAGCUCUACACCCCCCGAUGCCAACUCCUGAGAGUUGUCUUCAAGCCACUGGCAUUCGACGCUCAGAAUAUCUGUUCCCGUUAGAGUGAAGAUUUCCAUUCUGGAAUGAUGAGCUGACAUGUCUGCUUGCUGGAAGGAAAACAACUCGUGUUGUGUUUAAGUGUUCGGACCAAUUUGUUCAUGUGUGGUCCGGUCUUCUUGAAGUACGACUCUACUUUAUGGGGCAUAGACCCAGUAUUUUCUCUUUUGGAAGCUGUUGAACAGUUUCUAUGCUCCUAAUUACUAGAAGUAAUGCAGCUCGUUAACUUUACUUGGGCAUUACCCUCAAUAAAUUAACCUUCGCACAUAAGCUUUUGCGCAGCUAAAGGAUGUUUCUCGUACGCAAGUGCAGACAGUCAUGCCAUGUGUUUAAGAUAAGCGAAGAAUAAGAAUGAUUUUAUUGACUAGGAAGAUGUGCAAGUUGUGGGCAGGUUCCACAGAACAAACUUUGAAAUCCCCGAAUUGCCCUGUCACAACCUAGUGAUGCCUCAUGGAGGUAUAACUGUUCUCCUUUAUAUGCAGACAACUGGCAAAAACAUGAUUACACUGAUGGUGGACCUAUUACUCCACAUAGGUUGAUGUAGCUUUUUCAUGCCAAUCAUGCCUUCUUUUGUGGCCAUGUUAUUUGAUAAAAGUUAAACAGUCAGACGAAACUUCGAUGAAACUUCUGUGCUGAAACUAAAGACACAACGAAGUAUGAUUCCAUACCAUAAUUGUUUUUAUGUGCUGGCCUUUCAUUGAUAUUUUUUUGUGCCCCUUUGAAAGGGCUAUUGUACUGGCGUGCUUCUCACACGUGCAAGCAUUAUCUUCAUCUGUGCCAGAGCCUAAGGGUCAACCUAGUCAGCGAAUGUUGUUGAUUGCUUGCCCGUGCGGUACACAUUUAUUGGGCUUUGCACUGCGAUAGCAUUGUGCUACAUUGUAAAUAUGUAUAUAUUAUGGUAUUUCUUCCAUUGAUUUUGCUGGCGCUAUCUCACCAAACCUUUGCAGUGCAUUUGAAGCCACAGGAACUAUUCAAAUGCAGGGAUGUAAAACAGAAAAGCCGUUUUUUCACAGCAUAAAUUUUGAACUGGAACAAACAAGCCAAUGGCAUGUGUGCUUUUGUCAGUUUAAAUUGGAUGCACAUUCGCACAGCCCUUCAUGUGUCUAGUUUAUUUGAUCUUGUCUGGUCAUGUUCCUUGCCAUAUUAGAAAUAUUAAUAUACAGGAUCAUAGAGCAGUUAGUUAUGUAGAAUUUGUAAAUACGUUUUCUUCCUCGGAACUUGCAGGGGUAUCUGUUUUCCUGAUUGGGCCACUAACUUCUACAGCACUGCAAGGGAUUGGUGGGACAGAGUUUGUGACGUUGUGAUGGCAGGACUCAGCGGUAACGCUUGCAGAAGUGGGGAAGCUUCAGUGAGAGCUUUCGCUACUACGUACAGGCUUCAAAAGGAAACAACUUGCAGAGACAAUACAAAGUGAGGGAGACAAACAAUAACAUUAACCGGUGACUUUACUCUUUAAACUCUAACUUCGUUGUAACAGUCACAUCUGCCAUGAAAGCAACUUCGUUAUGUCCGAAAAUUUGUCACACUGUGUCCACGACAAAACUAUCUUUCAUUUGCUUCGUUAUAACCGAAAAUUCGUUAUACCUGUAUAUGUUAUAUAGAGGUUAGAGAUUUAUGAAAGAAGCACGAAUAUAGAACAUUGGAAACCACUGCAUACCACUGCGCAUAACCAAAGGCGAAGGAGCUGCAAUCAUAUUUCACCAGUAUUAUUGCGGUCGUUAGGAUAUAUUAACUCUGUGUCAGUUAAUGCCACAGAUGUACCACGAAGUGAGAGCUAACACUCCUUUUUUUGGACCAGUAGUAGCUUGGGUAGCUUGGAGAUUUGAUUUGCACAAACAUCAUUGUAGCACUUGGGGACUGAGCAAAUGCGGUUAAUGUCCUUCGCGUAGGGCAUUGACAACCUUCAGCCUUGAUGAAAUAGUGCCUUCUGUGUGUUGUAGCCAUAAGUUCUGUUGCUUACGUUUGAGUAAGCUUGAAGUGUUUUUCUUCAACAAUUGUGAAUUUUGGUCGUUCUUAAUGAUAUACCGUAUAAGCAAAAGCACCUGUUAUGCUCUAUAGCCACAUUCAUGGAACUUCUUUGAUUGUUAUGUAGUGUUAUGUAGUGAUUACAGUUUUAGAAAUUAAACGCAGUGGUGUUGCUUGUGAAUUUUGCCAUUUCUCAAUUGAACCUGGUAUAGCUUCACUAUCACUCCAAGCAAAGAACACAGUAUUUUUGCUGCACUUUUAAUUUUUAGUUGUUUGGUCACUACUGCUAUAGUUUUUCACGUAAAUAUAGUUGUUUUGUUACAUCCAUUCUAUGAGGCAUUUUUUCUACUCUUUAGAUGUUUUCGUGCUUUAAUGAAGUGCUGCUAUUGCUCAAAAUAGACCACUGUGUGCUAUGUACAACAGACUGUAGUACAGCACUCUGCGAGCUGCUAAGCUGGGCAAAAUGCAGUGUGGUCUUCUCUACAGAAGUGCCUUGUGUUGACAGCUGUGCUGUUUUUUUAGCACAUUUUUUAUGAGUGCUAUUUUUAGUUAGCAAACAACACUUUUUUAUUCAUGCUGUGCAUGAGAGAUGCCUUAAAAAAAUUUGUGAUGUGCAGUCUACUUACAAUGAGGACGGGAACAGGAGACAGCAACGUAUGUAACAAUGUCCGGGACCACGAAUUGGUGCAUUUUUCUACAGCCAAGGUUUCCUGUGGCUUGUAUGAUGACGAUCUGUAAAGCAUGACUGCUGCACAUGGCUUGGUAUGUGCGUGGAAAGAUUGUGUAAAUGUAGUUUUGAUGAACUGCGGAGUGAGCAACGCUGUGAUGUGGGAGGGAACUAUUUCAAUCAGGUCUUGCCCUUUUUGCAGGCUUUACAUUGGCAACCUUAACGGUGACCCUUUCUUCCAAGAAAACCACGUAACUCAUUCUUUCUGGCUCUAAUCCUGAAAUGCCUACGUACUGCACAGAUGUUAGGAAAUUUGAACAGUUUUUGAACAGCGACGAUACAUGUGACAAUCAGUGUUGUGCGCUCUAUUGAGUGCACCUGCUAGUCUGUUGUUAUUCUCGAAACAAUAAAACCUAUAUUUAUGUGCAACUUU